rnacentral:rRNA from 1 species
AGGGCACCACCAGGAGUGGAGCCUGCGGCUUAAUUUGACUCAACACGGGAAAACUCACCCGGCCCGGACACUGGAAGGAUUGACAGAUUGAGAGCUCUUUCUUGAUUCAGUGGGUGGUGGUGCAUGGCCGUUCUUAGUUGGUGGAGUGAUUUGUCUGGUUAAUUCCGAUAACGAACGAGACUCUAGCCUAUUAAAUAGAUCGUUGGCUUACAAACGCCAGCGAGACUUCUUAGAGGGACAGGCGGCGAUUCAGCCGCACGAAACAGAGCAAUAACAGGUCUGUGAUGCCCUUAGAUGUCCGGGGCCGCACGCGCGCUACACUGAAGUGAUCAGCGUGCAUUUUGAAACCUACUCUGUCAAGAGUGGGGAACCCAAUGAACCUUCUUCGUGAUUGGGAUAGGGGAUUGUAAUUAUUCCCCUUGAACGAGGAAUUCCCAGUAAGCGCGAAUCAUAAGUUUGCGCUGAUUACGUCCCUGCCCUUUGUACACACCGCCCGUCGCUACUACCGAUUGAAUGUUU